UGGAUCCAGACUUUGAUUAUGGCUCAGGAUUAACGCUGGCGGCAUGCCUAAUACAUGCAAGUCGAACGAGAGUAACAAUACUCUAGUGGCGAACGGGUGAGUAACACGUAGGAAACCUGCCUCAAAGUCGAGGAUAACUACUGGAAACGGUAGCUAAAACUGGAUAGGAUAUAUUAAGGCAUCUUGAUAUAUUUAAAAGUCCUUCUGGGAAUGCUUUGAGAUGGUCCUGCGGCGCAUUAGCUAGUUGGUGAGGUAGUAGCUUACCAAGGCGACGAUGCGUAGCUGAGCUGAGAGGCCAAACAGCCACACUGGGACUGAGACACGGCCCAGACUCCUACGGGAGGCAGCAGUAGGGAAUUUUCGGCAAUGGGGGAAACCCUGACCGAGCAAUGCCGCGUGAAUGAUGAAAUUCUUCGGAAUGUAAAAUUCUGUUGUGAGGGAAGAAAGGUAGUAUCAGGAAAUGGGUAUUACUUGACGGUACCUUACUAGAAAGCCCCGGCUAACUAUGUGCCAGCAGCCGCGGUAAUACAUAGGGGGCGAGCGUUAUCCGGAAUUAUUGGGCGUAAAGCGUGCGUAGGC
rnacentral:rRNA from 1 species